AACGAACGCUGGCGGCGUGCCUAACACAUGCAAGUCGAACGGAAACGCCGUGCUUUUUUGCGCUGCUCGAGUGCCGAACGGGGGAGUAACACGUGAGUAACCUGCCCUUCACUUUGGGAUAACUUCAGGAAGCUGGAGCUAAUACCGUAUAGGAUCUCCUGCUGCAGGGUGGGCGUUGGAAAGUUUCGGCGGUUGGGGAUGGACGGGCGGCUUAUGAGCUUGCUGGUUGGGUAGUGGCUUACCAAGGCUUUGACGGGUAGCCUGCCUGAGAGGGUGACCGGCCACAUUGGGCCUGAGAUACGGCCCAGACUGCAACGGGAGGCAGCAGUGGGGAAUAUUGCACAAUGGGAGGAAGCCUGAUGCAGCAACGCCGCGUGCGGGAUGACGUCCUUCGGGUUGUGAAACGCUUCCGCUUGAGACGCAGCGUGAGUGACGGUAAUGGGAAAAGAAGCACCGGCUAACUACGUG
rnacentral:rRNA from 1 species